rnacentral:rRNA from 1 species
UGAGUGACCUGCCCUUCACUCUGGGAUAACUCCGGGAAACCGGGGCUAAUACUGGAUAUGACUCGAACAGGCAUCUGUUUCGGGUGGAAAGAUUUAUUGGUGGAGGAUGGACUCGCGGCCUAUCAGCUUGUUGGUGAGGUAGUGGCUCACCAAGGCGACGACGGGUAGCCGGCCUGAGAGGGUNAUCGGCCACAUUGGAACUGAGACACGGUCCAGACUCCUACGGGAGGNA